CGCUAGCCGAGCGCAACCUGCGGGGGCGGGGGCGGCGGCCGCAGCGGCGGAGCUGGGAGCAGGAACAGGUUCAAGUUCUCCAUACCAGGGUCCAGGCCAAAACCAGAUUGCCACUGCCCCCACUUGGGCGCCACUGUCCUCAGAAAGUAGCUGCUGUGAUCAUGGGCAAUAUCUUUGGAAACCUUCUCAAGAGCCUCAUUGGGAAGAAGGAGAUGCGCAUCCUGAUGGUGGGCCUGGAUGCCGCAGGAAAGACCACCAUCCUGUACAAACUAAAACUGGGAGAGAUCGUCACCACCAUCCCUACCAUUGGGUUCAAUGUGGAGACAGUCGAGUAUAAGAACAUCAGCUUCACAGUGUGGGAUGUGGGUGGCCAGGACAAGAUUCGGCCCCUCUGGAGACACUACUUCCAGAACACCCAAGGGUUGAUAUUUGUGGUGGACAGCAAUGAUCGGGAACGAGUAAAUGAGGCCCGGGAAGAGCUGAUGAGGAUGCUGGCAGAGGAUGAGCUCCGGGAUGCUGUGCUCCUUGUCUUUGCAAACAAACAGGAUCUGCCUAAUGCUAUGAAUGCUGCUGAGAUCACGGACAAGCUGGGCCUGCAUUCUCUGCGUCAUCGCAACUGGUACAUUCAGGCCACCUGUGCCACCAGCGGGGAUGGGCUGUAUGAAGGCCUGGACUGGCUGGCCAAUCAGCUCAAAAACAAGAAAUGAGAGCCAGGCAGCCCUAUCCAACUGUCCCACCCUCUCCUGACCUACCUACUGUCUUUUUACCCCAGCCUACCCCUUCCUUCCCAUUUGCAAGUGUGGCCAGGGCCCUGGGUAUCAUGUCCGCAUACCCAGCAAGAGCCUUACCUCCCCUGCCUCCCUUCUUCUCCCCUGUCCACUGACAUGAACAGUCCCCAAUUGCUGUCCUGAUGAUGAAUCAUUCCAAUUUACUGGAUUUAAAACAAAAACAAGGUUGUUAUGGUUUCAUGGGGUGGCCCCCCUCUCUCUCACCCUCUGGGUUUUGGGAGGUGGGGUGGGGCGUUCUCUCCAUUUGCUUCAUUUGGCACUGGUUGCUGUGCUCUUGGCAUCUGAGUCCCUUCCCUGUCCCCACAAGCCCCUCUCCUACCCCCUGUCUCCCUUUACUUCACCACCCUCUCCCUGUUCUACAUGGAAAUUGCACGGGCCUCUGUGUGUGCGUGCAUGUGUGCACCUGUAUAUACAUGUAUAGAGAGAUAUAUAUGUGGGGGCCAGGGGAAGGAGAGUGUGGAGUACAGCUCAGGGCUUGCAGCCAGGACACUGCCCACUGGAGCCUAUCAUCUGCCCCAUCCAUGUUGGUGAGGUGUAAAGGGAAGAAAGUGGGAGGGUUUUAAUCAGGCUGGACUGCUCUAGUCUUGAAAUGGUUCCUCUCCUCUCUGCAGGUAGGUUUUCCUGGGUGAUAGGACAGAUGAUGGAUUCUCCAGCACCAUCUUCCUUGUAUCCCUCUCUCCACCCUUCUUAGGGCAGGGAGGUGGCAUUUCUCACUAGAUGACUGUUCCCAAGGAGAUGCCAUUGUGCUCUGCCUUGUUAGUGGGAAGGAGAGAGGAACCCACUCAUUCUUACCAGCCCAGAAUGUUCAACUGAUCCUCCCCCACCAUCCUUAGAUCUGUUCCCCAGGAGCUUGAGGGGGAGGUGGGGAUAGCAAGGCCAUGGUGUGUGUUUGGGACCCAGGGCACAGGGGAAAAGGGAAGGCCUCAGGUUUUCCAUCUUCAUUUUCUUUUGUUUUUAGAAGGUGAGGCAUGGAUCAGUCCCAUUCCUGCCUUCGCACACUCCGCCCUUUAUCUUCUGGUCUUGGGGGCUAGAUGGUUCAUCUGUCCUUUGUCAGAAGUUUUCUCACCUUAGUGGUCCUGUGGGCUUGACCAGGGCUGACUGGGUGAUCUAAUGUGGAGCAGGGUGACAUCACAGACCUCAAUAUCAAUCCCCCUAUUCUCCAACUCUCUUUUUCUAGUCCAGGAUGUGCUAAUGGAUGAAGAUUUUCUGUUGUUUCCAGGCCCUCAGACCAUCUUUGCUGUUCCUUCCCCCUCUGUUCAAACAAUUUUCCCCGUAUCCUUACCUCUUCCCAUAAAUAGAUCUGGGGGUUGGAGUGUAGGAAAUAGAGCCCUGAAGUACUUGUUGGUACUGGUGGGAUACAGUGGACUUCAAGGUCCUCCUCCAUUAUUAGGUAGUUGUUCAGAAGCUGCUGCUACUGGAUCUCUCUGUCUACAGGCAGCACUUGUCCCUGAGGUCCUGGCCUGGGUCCUGAUUUCUGCGGUUUCUGUGAAGCCGUGGCUUUUCUGUGGGCUCCUGUGUAUACUGGCUGCACCCUGAGCUCCAAGACAGCUGCCCAUAUCCUUUCUCCUAAGGUCAGGGCCCAGGGCUUCCCACAGCAUGGCUGAGCGACCCCUUCUUAGAAGGGCUGUCCCAAGCCCCACUCCAUGGGGCCAGGCUUCCUGCCACCUUUGUCUACAGCAGGCAGAUAAAUAACCUCUACCCCACCCCAGAUUGAACUGUGAAAGAGAGGUUCCAGGGGUCUCUCCCUCAGUGCCAGUUACUUAGUGAUAUGUUACUUAACCAAGAUGCAGUGGGCGUGUGCAGCUAUCUUGCUCUCUAGGCCUUUGUAUGUAUGUGUGUGUGUGCGGUGUGGGGGGGGGGUGCUGGAGGUUCUAGUUCAUUUUUAAAUGUGUUCACUCCCCUGACCCCACAGAUACCUCUCUGCACACUUUUUCUUUGCUCUGUUUUCUCAGAUUUUUUUUGUCCUGCCCUUGUUGCCUGCCUGAACUCUUUUCUUGCCUUCUCAACUCAUUCACUGCUGUUGCCUAUUUUUUUUCCUUUUUUCUUUUUUUUUUUUCAGAAGACUAUAUGUGCUCUGAUGUUGCCUGUUUUUCUUUUCCUUGUUUUUUUCCUACUUGUGAUUCCCACUCUCUUUUUGUGGUUGGUGAGGCCUCUCCUGCCUCACUCCCUCUCUGACCCUCCCUAGUUAGAUGCCAUUCCCAAAUAUGUUUUCCUCAUUUGAGGCCUCACCCCCACCUUUUUGGGGGGGCUCCAGGGACCAAUUUGGGUCUGAGGGUGUUAGGAAGCAGCCUUGGAGGUUGCCUAGGUGCUGCUCCAGAUCUUUCCAGCAGGGGGCAGUAGGUUAUCUUGGUGGUAUCCUUGGCUGCUAGGCCCUUGGCAGGGGUGGUCCUUUCUACAUUCCCAUUCACCUAACAGCUCUUUUGGGAUUGGGUGUUUCAUUCCAUUUCUGCCCACUUCCUCCCCCGCUCUCCUUUGGUGGGUUUGAUUUUAUGCUUUCCCAUGUUCCAGCUUUCUUCCUGGGGGUCCCCCUCCCUGCCACCCCUGAAGUUUGUUUGUGGUGUUAUAUUGGUAACUGCAGUUCUGACCUGGUUUCUCUCUUCUUUUUUCCUCCUCUGGAAUGUAGACUGUAUAUGUUUAAUAACUCACCUUCUCUAUCCUUGCUCAAAAUGUGGGAUAAUGCGAUGACUGUGACCCUGGUUGGAAAUUAAACAUGUUUUAUGCAG